GUCUUCCAUGGCAGGCGACGCUUGGUUGAUGCUGGGAGAAGAUUCCUUUGGAUCUCAACCAGCAGCCGUUAUGCCCGCAUUUCGGCCCACAGAUCAUCUUCAGGCGGUCUCCCCUCCCCGAGGGAUUAAGAUAUGACCGGUCCCACCUGGCAAUGGGUGGGAUCUUCGUUCCGUAGGUGAACAGGUUUGCCUACCGCAUUCAUUAAAUGCGCGGUCUGCACCGACGUUAUGGUGCAGGCAACAUCGUCCAAAUGCUGAGCGUGCCCGGCGGAAGCCUAUAACAAUCAGCAGCCAGUGCCCGUCGUCGGCCUGGUGCACAGAUCAACCGACGAUGACCCGUAGAGGUUGAGAUAUGAUCGGUCCCGGCCUGGAAGAGGCCCGGAGUCGCGGAACCUGCGGAAGGAUCAUUACCGAGAGCCUGGGGUCUAACCGGCCCCUCUCUUCACCCGUGUCUACAAAAACAAAUGUUGCUUUGGCGGGCCAGGGCCCCGUCCCUGGAUGGGCUUAACCUUCCCACCCGGUGCCCGCCGAAGGUACAACCAAAAUCUGUUAUCAGUGUCGUCCGAGUAUACACAUAAUAAACUAAAACUUUCAACAACGGAUCUCUUGGUUCCCGCAUCGAUGAAGAACGCAGCGAAAUGCGAAAAUUAAUGUGAAUUGCAGAAUUCCGUGAAUCAUCGAGUCUUUGAACGCACAUUGCGCCCUUUGGUAUUCCGAAGGGCAUGCCUGUUCGAGCGUCAUUGCACCUCUCAAGCACUGCUUGGUAUUGGGCCGCGCCCCCGUGGCGUGCCUGGAAUUCAGUGGCGGUCCAGCGAGACUUCAAGCGUAGCAAGAUUUAACGAUCCCGCUUUGGAAGGUUCCUGCUGUGUGCCGGCCAGACAACCCCAUUAUUUCUCAAUGGUUGACCUCGGAUCAGGUAGGGAUACCCGCUGAACUUAAGCAUAUCAAUAAGCGGAGGAAAAGAAACCAACAGGGAUUGCCUCAGUAACGGCGAGUGAAGCGGCAACAGCUCAAAUUUGAAAUCUGGCCUCUUCGGGGUCCGAGUUGUAAUUUGUAGAGGGUGUUUCGGGCGAGGCGCCGGCCUAAGUUCCUUGGAACAGGACGUCAUAGAGGGUGAGAAUCCCGUAUGCGGCCGGCGACCGAGUUCAUGUGAAACCCCUUCGACGAGUCGAGUUGUUUGGGAAUGCAGCUCAAAAUGGGUGGUAAAUUUCAUCUAAAGCUAAAUACUGGCGGGAGACCGAUAGCGCACAAGUAGAGUGAUCGAAAGAUGAAAAGCACUUUGGAAAGAGAGUCAAACAGUACGUGAAAUUGUUGAAAGGGAAGCGCUUGCAACCAGACCUGUGCUCGGGUAAUCAGCCUCCGGUCUCCGGGGGUGCACUUGCCCGUUUGCAGGCCAGCAUCGGUUCGGGCGGUAGGAAAACGUCGCGGGAAUGUAGCUCCCUUCGGGGAGUGUUAUAGCCCGUCGUCAUAUGCUGCCAGCCCGGACCGAGGACCGCGCUUCGGCUAGGAUGCUGGCGUAAUGGUUGUAAGCGGCCCGUCUUGAAACACGGACCAAGGAGUCUAAUAUUUAUGCGAGUGUUUGGGUGUUAAACCCAUGCGCGGAAUGAAAGUGAACGGAGGUGGGAACCCUUUAAGGGCGCACCAUCGACCGAUCCGGAAGUUUACGGAUGGAUUUGAGUAAGAGCAUAACUAUUGGGACCCGAAAGAUGGUGAACUAUGCCUGAAUAGGGUGAAGCCAGGGGAAACCCUGGUGGAGGCUCGCAGCGGUUCUGACGUGCAAAUCGAUCGUCAAAUUUGGGUAUAGGGGCGCACUUUCGCCCCUAAUGGCUCGUCCCUUCCUGGGGCGCGCCUUAGUCCUUAGGGGCAAGGCUUAUGGUCUGCGGGGAUAUUCAGCCUGUCUGGAUUGCCCGCACCCUUCCAAGGAGAUGGGCCACAGAUCAAGCAUAGGCCGGCGGCUCCCUGCGGGGCCGCUAAUGAUAUGAUCGGGCCGGGGCCGAUGUAGGCCCCGGGGCACUGGAAAGACUAAUCGAACCAUCUAGCUUACUGGAUGGUCAGGCCAGGCAUCCUGCCUGGAACGGUCCCCCAUUGUGGGGGCAACAUCGUUAGUUGCACGGGUACGCCGUCGUCGCUACCCGGAGCCUGCCCAGCAGGUCCACAGACUAAACAACGAUGGCCGGGGCCUGGAGGCCCUGGUUGUGAGAUAGCCGAUUCCUCUCCUCUGGGAGACGGUAGCUAAAGAGUAGCUGGUUCCUGUCGAAGUUUCCCUCAGGAUAGCAGUAACGUUUUCAGUUUUAUGAGGUAAAGCGAAUGAUUAGAGGCCUUGGGGAUGAAACAUCCUUAACCUAUUCUCAAACUUUAAAU
rnacentral:rRNA from 1 species